rnacentral:rRNA from 1 species
AUGCGUGACAUUAGCUUGUUGGUGAGGUAACGGCUCACCAAGGCGACGAUGUCUAGGGGUUCUGAGAGGAUUCUCCCCCACACUGGUACUGAGACACGGACCAGACUCCUACGGGAGGCAGCAGUAAGGAAUAUUGGGCAAUGGGCGCAAGUCUGACCCAGCCAUGCCGCGUGAAGGAUGACGGCCCUACGGGUUGUAAACUUCUUUUGUACGGGAAAAAACCCCCGGUCGUGCACCGGGGUUGAUGGUACUGUAAGAAUAAGCAUCGGCUAACUCCGUGCCAGCAGCCGCGGUAAUACGGAGGAUGCAAGCGUUAUCCGGAUUCAUUGGGUUUAAAGGGUGCGCAGGCGGAUUGGUAAGUCAGUGGUGAAAUCCUACGGCUCAACUGUAGAACUGCCAUUGAUACUACCAAUCUUGAGUACACUUGAAGUGGGCGGAAUGUGUCAUGUAGCGGUGAAAUGCUUAGAUAUGACACAGAACACCGAUCGCGAAGGCAGCUCACUAAAUUGUAACUGACGCUCAGGCACGAAAGCGUGGGGAUCAAACAGGAUUAGAUACCCUGGUAGUCCACGCUGUAAACGAUGAUCACUCGAUGUUGGCGAUACACUGUCAGCGUCUAAGCGAAAGCAUUAAGUGAUCCACCUGGGGAGUACGGCCGCAAGGUUGAAACUCAAAGGAAUUGACGGGGGCCCGCACAAGCGGAGGAGCAUGUGGUUUA